UUGUAACCAACGGUAUCCCUUUUAACUCCGUCUGAUCCCCAACAGUUUAUUGCUCUCCUGGACCGUUCAAUUCUUAGAAUAUGGAAAACAGAUACAUAUGUUCCCAGACGAGGUAGCUUGUGCGACCGCAAAGUAUUCUUGAUCUUCCGAGUCAUACGGCUACAUACGGGCAAAAACGGUUUAAACAAAACAUACUUUAACUCGAUAUUUCACUGACACUUGGAGCGUUUGGAACCCCGUGCGUAGUGCCGAAGGAUGGAUGCAAGGGGGAGACCGGCUGGAUUUUCAGGGGGAGCCGUAUAAAGAAAGAAACGUUACAACAAGGUCAUGACAAAGGUCAACCUGGUAUAAAAUUGCCACCGUUGAGACCUGCAUUAGAUCUAGUUUGAAAGUGACGGUGACCGUUUGCUCUAAAGUAAGCAGUUGUAAACCAACGAAGGAAGAAAAUAUGGAAAUGAACGAUAUCACCGUUAUAAAAAGUACCAUCUGCGCCCAAAUACAAAAA